UGCAGGAUAGACUAGUGGUUCGGGCAUUUGCCUCCCAGCCAAAUGGUCCUGGGUUCGAACCCCAAUGUCCUUGAGCAA